GAAGAGCCAAGUUCCGAGUAUGGAUCUGGGUAUGGGAGGAAGAGUGAGUAUGAAGAACCCACUCCUCAAUAUGGAUCUGGGUAUGGCCGGAAGAGUGAGUAUCAAGAGCCAAGUUCUGAGUAUGGGAGGAAGACUGAAUAUGAAGAACCCACUGCCCAGUAUGGAAGGAAAAGCGAGUAUGAAGAACCCGCUUCCGAAUAUGGAUCAGGGUACCGGAAGAAGAGUGAAUACGAGGAGCCAAGCUCGGAAUACGGGUCGGGUUAUGGGCGUAAGAACGAAUCCGAAGAAUACGGAUCUGGUGGAUAUGGCAGGAAGCCGAGCUAUGGACAAGAGGAAGGUGAGAGGCCCAGUUAUGGGCGUCCAAGCUACCAGGCUGAGGAGGGCGAAGGGUACGAGAGGCCUCACUAUGGAAGGUCCGAGGAGGAGGACUACAAGAAGCCCAGCUACGAGAGGCGUGGUGAU
rnacentral:lncRNA from 1 species